ensembl:snRNA U6 U6 spliceosomal RNA
GCGCUUAUUUCAGCAGCACAUAUACUAAAAUUAGAAUGAUACAGAGAAGAUUAGCAUGGUCCCUGCACAGGGAUGACAUGCACAUUUUUGAAAAAAUUAGAAGAGAA